GAAUCUUUAAAGAAAUAGUUUCAAGGAUGUCACUCACAGUGAUGCAUGAGAAGAGACUGCGGACUCUUCAGCUUACAAUACUUGAAGGUUUGCGAUGGGGAUAGUGUUGAUAUCUCAGGCCAACAUCUGGAGCGCAUGAAUACCUCGAGUGAGCCUAAACCAGCACUUCCACAGCUGACUUAACAUAAAAUGGAGGAUAACUGGCAUCAGGAGCGCCACUAGCUAUUCUAGUCAGCAGCAAGGUGAUUGAUAAGGAAAAUGCAAGCAGCGGGUGACAACUAACAGGCGCACUCCCUUAGACUACCUGCAUACCCCAGGCCUGAGAGAU